rnacentral:rRNA from 1 species
AACGAACGCUGGCGGCAGGCUUAACACAUGCAAGUCGAGCGCCCCGCAAGGGGAGCGGCAGACGGGUGAGUAACGCGUGGGAAUCUACCCAUCUCUACGGAAUAACGCAUGGAAACGUGUGCUAAUACCGUAUACGUCCUUCGGGAGAAAGAUUUAUCGGCGAUGGGAUGAGCCCGCGUUGGAGUAGUUAGUUGGUGGGGUAAAGGCCUGCCAAGGCGACGAUCCGUAGCUGGUCUGAGAGGAUGAUCAGCCACACUGGGAAUGAGACACGGCCCGGACUCCGGCGGGAGUAAGCAGUGGGGAAAGUUGGACGAGGGGCGCAAGCCUGAUCCAGCCAUGCCGCGUGAGUGAUGAAGGCCCUAGGGUUGUAAAGCUCUGUCACCGGUGAAGAUAAUGACGGUAACCGGAGAAGAAGCCCCGGCUAACUUCGUGCCAGCCGCCGCCGUAACAC